CUGCUGCCCUCUGUAAGGUCACAAGAAUCACCAGAGACCCAUCUCACCAAGGCCCCCACCUCUGUACUUUGCUGCCCUCUGGAAGGUCACGAGAAUCACCAGGGACCCAUCUCACCCAGGCCCCCACCUCUGCACUCUGCUGCCCUCUGUAAGGUCACGAGAAUCACCAGGGACCCAUCUCACCAAGGCCCCCACCUCUGCACUCUGCUGCCCUCUGUAAGGUCACGAGAAUCACCAGGGACCCAUCUCACCCAGGCCCCCACCUCUGCACUUUGCUGCCCUCUGUAAGGUCACGAGAAUCACCAGGGACCCAUCUCACCAAGGCCCCCACCUCUGCACU